CUGAUAUCUUCUCUCUGUGUGUGUAUAUAUAUAUAUAUAUAUGUAUAUAUAAUAUUUUUUUAAUGACCCUUUUUGCCCUUGUUUUUAUUCUACGUAAAGAAAUGAAUAACAACAGACAACCAACUUGUUUAACAUUCAUUUUGCCUUGGGAAAUUGUUCUGAACGUAUAUACAUUGGGAUCUGUCACUGAUUCGAUAAAUCUUGACCAAAACCUCUGACGCCUCCCCACCCUCUAUGUCCCACAUCGUUUAUAAAACGGGAGACUCUAAUCUCCCUCUCCCCAUCAACUUCUCCCUUAUUUAAACCCCACAAAUUAGCUCCUCCCACCGGUUAAUCCUCUCAAAAUUCAAACCCAUUUCCCCUUUCGAUCUUCUUCUUUCUUGUUUCUUCUCGUUCUUUCUUGGGUUAUCGUUGGCUGUCGUUACGGCGGGGGUGGCGAGCAGAUGAUCGGUGCUCUUACUGUGCUGAUUAUACCCAGAUGGUAAGGUGUUUGAGCGGAAUGAGUGUUCUGGUGCUGGCGGUUCUAGCGGCGUCUAUGGUGGUCCUGCCGUUGAUGUUGCCGCCACUUCCUCCUCCGCCGUUGAUGCUUUUGUUCUUUCCUGUUGGGAUCAUGGCUGCGCUCAUGAUGCUCGCUUUUUCUCCCGCUGAGGUUGUUGUUGAUGCAAACGUCGUCGUUUAAACAGUUGGAGAAUUAGUCGGAAGGAGGUCGCUGCGUUUAGAGACUUGUCGUCUGUCGUUUUUAGGUCUUCAUAAGGAUUCUAUAUAUACAUAUAUAUAUAUAUUUUUUUUGUUUUUUUUUUGUAUACAUUUAUUUUGUUGUUUAAUUCAGCACUAAUCUCCCAAAUGCUGGAAAAUUUAAGUUUUUUUAUGUUAAAAUUUUUUCAAGUUAGAUAGAUCAAUUUAUGCACCAAAUAUAUUUAAUAAAUAAAUAAAGUAAACAUAUAAAAAUAAAUUAAUCACACGAGCGUAAAUUAAUUUACGACUUGUAAAUUAAAUGCAUCGUGAAAAAUUCAAGAGAGAAUGAAAAAGAGAUUGCAAAAUUAAUUUAGAGAGGUUUAGCCAACAAUCUCGUGUUUACAUCUUUUACUCAAGUUUUCU
rnacentral:lncRNA from 1 species